UACGGAGGAUGCAAGCGUUAUCCGGAAUGAUUGGGCGUAAAGCGUCCGCAGGUGGCUGUGUAAGUCUGCUGUCAAAGAGCAAAGCUCAACUUUGUAAAGGCAGUGGAAACUACACGGCUAGAGUGCGUUCGGGGCAGAGGGAAUUCCUGGUGUAGCGGUGAAAUGCGCAGAUAUCAGGAAGAACACCCGUGGCGAAGGCGGUUCUCUGGGACGGUACUGACGCUGAGACGCGAAAGCGUGGGGAGCGAACAGG
rnacentral:rRNA from 1 species